rnacentral:rRNA from 1 species
AUUGAACGCUGGCGGCAUGCUUUACACAUGCAAGUCGAACGGUAACAGGGAGCUUGCUCCGCUGACGAGUGGCGAACGGGUGAGUAAUAUAUCGGAACGUACCCAAGAGUGGGGGAUAACGUAGCGAAAGUUACGCUAAAACCGCAUACGAUCUAUGGAUGAAAGCAGGGGACCUUCGGGCCUUGUGCUCCUGGAGCGGCCGAUAUCUGAUUAGCUAGUUGGUGAGGUAAAGGCUCACCAAGGCGACGAUCAGUAGCUGGUCUGAGAGGACGACCAGCCACACUGGAACUGAGACACGGUCCAGACUCCUACGGGAGGCAGCAGUGGGGAAUUUUGGACAAUGGGCGCAAGCCUGAUCCAGCAAUGCCGCGUGAGUGAAGAAGGCCUUCGGGUUGUAAAGCUCUUUUGUCAGGGAAGAAACGGUAGAGGCUAAUAUCCUUUGCUAAUGACGGUACCUGAAGAAUAAGCACCGGCUAACUACGUGCCAGCAGCCGCCGUAACAC